GUGGGGAAUAUUGGACAAUGGGCGAAAGCCUGAUCCAGCCAUGCCGCGUGAGUGAUGAAGGCCUUAGGGUUGUAAAGCUCUUUCAGCUGGGAAGAUAAUGACGGUACCAGCAGAAGAAGCCCCGGCUAACUCCGUGCCAGCAGCCGCGGUAAUACGGAGGGGGCUAGCGUUGUUCGGAAUUACUGGGCGUAAAGCGCGCGUAGGCGGACCAGAAAGUUGGAGGUGAAAUCCCAGGGCUCAACCUUGGAACUGCCUUCAAAACUCCUGGUCUGGAGUUCGAGAGAGGUGAGUGGAAUUCCGAGUGUAGAGGUGAAAUUCGUAGAUAUUCGGAGGAACACCAGUGGCGAAGGUGGCUCACUGGCUCGAUACUGACGCUGAGGUGCGAAAGCGUGGGGAGCAAACAGGAUUAGAAACCCGGGUAGUCC
rnacentral:rRNA from 1 species